GACGAACGCUGGCGGCGUGCCUAAUACAUGCAAGUCGAACGAACUCUGGUAUUGAUUGGUGCUUGCAUCAUGAUUUACAUUUGAGUGAGUGGCGAACUGGUGAGUAACACGUGGGAAACCUGCCCAGAAGCGGGGGAUAACACCUGGAAACAGAUGCUAAUACCGCAUAACAACUUGGACCGCAUGGUCCGAGUUUGAAAGAUGGCUUCGGCUAUCACUUUUGGAUGGUCCCGCGGCGUAUUAGCUAGAUGGUGGGGUAACGGCUCACCAUGGCAAUGAUACGUAGCCGACCUGAGAGGGUAAUCGGCCACAUUGGGACUGAGACACGGCCCAAACUCCUACGGGAGGCAGCAGUAGGGAAUCUUCCACAAUGGACGAAAGUCUGAUGGAGCAACGCCGCGUGAGUGAAGAAGGGUUUCGGCUCGUAAAACUCUGUUGUUAAAGAAGAACAUAUCUGAGAGUAACUGUUCAGGUAUUGACGGUAUUUAACCAGAAAGCCACGGCUAACUACGUGCCAGCAGCCGCGGUAAUACGUAGGUGGCAAGCGUUGUCCGGAUUUAUUGGGCGUAAAGCGAGCGCGGGCGGUUUUUUAAGUCUGAUGUGAAAGCCUUCGGCUCAACCGAAGAAGUGCAUCGGAAACUGGGAAACUUGAGUGCAGAAGAGGACAGUGGAACUCCAUGUGUAGCGGUGAAAUGCGUAGAUAUAUGGAAGAACACCAGUGGCGAAGGCGGCUGUCUGGUCUGUAACUGACGCUGAGGCUCGAAAGUAUGGGUAGCAAACAGGAUUAGAUACCCUGGUAGUCCAUACCGUAAACGAUGAAUGCUAAGUGUUGGAGGGUUUCCGCCCUUCAGUGCUGCAGCUAACGCAUUAAGCAUUCCGCCUGGGGAGUACGGCCGCAAGGCUGAAACUCAAAGGAAUUGACGGGGGCCCGCACAAGCGGUGGAGCAUGUGGUUUAAUUCGAAGCUACGCGAAGAACCUUACCAGGUCUUGACAUACUAUGCAAAUCUAAGAGAUUAGACGUUCCCUUCGGGGACAUGGAUACAGGUGGUGCAUGGUUGUCGUCAGCUCGUGUCGUGAGAUGUUGGGUUAAGUCCCGCAACGAGCGCAACCCUUAUUAUCAGUUGCCAGCAUUAAGUUGGGCACUCUGGUGAGACUGCCGGUGACAAACCGGAGGAAGGUGGGGAUGACGUCAAAUCAUCAUGCCCCUUAUGACCUGGGCUACACACGUGCUACAAUGGAUGGUACAACGAGUUGCGAACUCGCGAGAGUAAGCUAAUCUCUUAAAGCCAUUCUCAGUUCGGAUUGUAGGCUGCAACUCGCCUACAUGAAGUCGGAAUCGCUAGUAAUCGCGGAUCAGCAUGCCGCGGUGAAUACGUUCCCGGGCCUUGUACACACCGCCCGUCACACCAUGAGAGUUUGUAACACCCAAAGUCGGUGGGGUAACCUUUUAGGAACCAGCCGCCUAAGGUGGGACAGAUGAUUAGGGUG
rnacentral:rRNA from 2 species